rnacentral:misc_RNA from 1 species
AAUAAUUUUAAUGAAGAAAAAUGUUACAUCAUUCUUAACGAAGAAGCAAAAUCAAAUAUUUGGUGAUUAAUAACUUUACUCAUCAUUCAAUAGUAUACAAAGGCAGCUGACUUUGUCACGCGAGAAACUCGUAGUUUCUUUUACCACGCCAACAUUUACAAGGGCUAUGAAAGAAAAUUGAGUAUUACAGGUGUAUAUAGCUGAUGUACAGUGUGUUAGCUUCAUGCCUUCAACUCAGUCACGAUGACAGUGCAAGCUCUGCCCAUGCUAAGGAAGAUGCCUUGAACUCCAGGGACACAGAUGUGUCAAUUUUGCUCUCCAACGUGCUGCUUAUUUCUUGCAUCGAUGGUCGCUUUGCGGGUUCUGGAUGGAUGCACAGGCUUACCACUUCACAUAUAACUUUGAGGUCAUCAUAUGUGAAAUGUUUUAACUCAGGAUCCACCACAUAAGACAUUACUUCUGGCAUUUCAAGGAACUCUUUGGCCCAAUCUACCAAGCGUCCUUUGUCCUCACAGUAAGGAGGUCUCCCGCUGAUUAUUUCCAGUAAAAGCACACCAAAAGCAUAUACAUUGCCUUGGACAUCAAGAUGGCGCCCCUCCAGAGAAUUUGUAAGUACACAGAUAGCACCUUGGCUGCCUAUGGAGCCCGAGUUCUUUUCUGAUCUUGAAAGAAUACUCUUCCAACUUUCAAAAUCAACCAGCUGUAAUAGACAGUAAGAAGAUUUUCUCAAGGCCACAAUUUCUCAUGGAGUUCGGCUCUGAGUCUGAAUUUUGACGAGGAAAUAAACUGGUAUGACAUUUACUAUUUAAUUAGGAAUAAAAAACAGUCUGUUACACAGAUUUCAUAACCUGAAAUAAAGAAAUAAAUAUACUUGCCCCUAAGAAAACCCUCAAAGGUCACUUCUCAACUUAGUGGCUGACCAAGUCUUAUCAUGAUCCUGAUCUCUAACUUCCAAGCUAGCUUAGCUAAUUCAAAAUUCCACUCUCCAGGGUGAUUGGAGUAUAAAGAUGUAAAAUUUGAUAGGAUUUAAAAAAAAAAAUUAAAUUAUAGUGUAGAAAAUAAUAAUUUCCUCACUUCUUUGUAAGAAUGGAGUAAGGCGUUGGGUAUUGGCUGUACCUUGGGAGAAAAAUCUUCUGUGAGAUAUACAGCACUAGAAUUUAGCUCUGAUAUGGUAAAUGGCACGUCAAGUUCUGUGUGAAGAUAUUUGAGACCACGAGCAAUGCCUAUUACAAUUUUCAUUCGUCGUGUCCAAGAUAACUGGCAUCCUUCUCCAUAAUGUAGGUGCUCAUACAAUGUUCCAUUUGAUGCAUAUUCAAAAACCAGCAUCCGGGUAAAUGGAGUGCUCUCUCUACAAUAGCCCAGUAAUUUUCCCAUAUUUUCAUGAUUUAAUCUUGCCAAAUCUGCCACCUGAACGGCAAUUUUAACUAAAACUUCUAGAAAGUCUCAAUUUUCAGCUCUUGCAUAUUUUAUAUUUGGUUCCUUUUGACAAAGAUUCGUGUUUUCAUGCAGUAAUAAACAAUGGUCAUUUACCUCUUUCUGGAAAUAGAGCUCAAGAUAGCCUGUCCAAUGUUCUUCCUUAAUGCAGAGAGAUAUAACAGCAAUCUCAGGCCCACCUUUUAUGGUGCCCUUGUAGACCAAACUGUCUGGAGAAGAGCCAAUAAUGUUGCUGAAGUCUUCACAGGCAACUUCAAGGUCUUGUCUACUAAAUCUCACUACAUCUUUCAGCAACUCAGAAUCUAUAUAUACUGCUGCAUAGUCAUUCUGACUUGCUGAUUUCUUCCAAGGGAUUAUUAUUGAUGAUUUGCUAUUGCAUCUCCGAAAAGCAGUCAGAACAGCAACAAGAAAAAGAGACCCUGCCAUGGUUCCUGUUAUGAUUUCCAGAGCCAAAAGCCAGGAAGGUUUUGAUGCCUCCUGAUGAUGGUUGGAUAAAUCUUCUGUAGGCUGGUGCUUAGGGUUGAAUGUUUGAUGGGUUUUGGCUGGUGGUGCGCCACCACAUAGUGCGGCUGAACGCUGUUUAGGAUCUUUGAUUUGAAGGCAGUUCCCUUGAAAGCUUGUGCUUGGAAGAUACUUCAAACACUUAGGUAUAUUCCCAACAAAGAAGUUAUAUGAUAAGUCUGCCACUUUCAACUGAGUUGCUCGACAUAAGCCAGUUGAGUUUGUGCUUGACACAUUCAUUCCGUGUACAUUAGAUGGGAAAUCUGAAUUGCCACUGGCAGGAAUGGUUCCUUGAAGUCUAUUCCUAUCCAGCUGAAGUUCCUCAAGGUACUUCAAAUUGCCAAGUUCAGGGGGCAAAUGCCCUGUUAACCCAUUGGACUCAAGGUUUAUUCUCAUAACACCAUUUAGAUUAGCUAUCUCUGGAGGAAUAGGACCCGUUAGUUGAUUCACUCCCAAAUCCAAAACCUUGAGGUUCUUCAACAUGCCCAGCUCUUUUGGGAUAGACCCAAUCAACUUAUUACCAUGCAAAAUGAGUUCUCGCAAGUAUGUGAUCCGACCCAAUUCUGGGGGAAGAAAUCCCCUGAUAGAUGACUUAGUUAUAUUAAUCUUUACAACUUGGUCUCGAGCAAAAGAGCAGAUAACGCCAGACCAGUCACAAGGAUCUGCAUCUAGGGUGUUCCAAUUGGACAAAAGCAGAACCGGGUCUUCAUAUAUAGCUUCUUUGAACGUUGUUAGUGCCCGAACUGUGCAAAGUCCAGAUUCUAUUGAGUACAAGAAACAAGACUUCAUAGCAACUUACUACGUAUGGUCACCAAAGUCUAAAAUUUUUCCCAAUUAGCACAUUGCUUGGAACAGUUGAAUCAGAUCAUAAAACUUCAAUACCACUAGAGGUAUGUUCAGUCACCAAGAACAAGUAGGAAAUGACUAGAAUUGAGAUAAAUUCAAAUCUCGAGACUUGACAUUUGAUUAUAUACUAAAUCUAGUAACAUUCAAUUUAGCCUAAUGACAUUAGUUAACUUGUACAAGAAGAGUUUAUCAAAGAUAUCGAAUACAACGUUAAUCACAAGAUUAAUAAUCCUAGCUUCUAAUAUUUUCCCCUAUUUUCUCAGCAAACACACGGCUCUGUAAAACCAUAAAGAAUCAAGAUCUGAGAACUAAGGUAGCAAUACAUACCUUCAUCUUUCGGAAAUGACUCACAGGUCACAAAAAGAGCUAGAAUUACAACAAAAAGAAGUUGCAAUGAAGUAUGUGAUCUCAUUUUCUCAGCAAGAAUUCUCCACACACUCUCUAAUUGUCACUUUCGUUCAGAACAACACAUAAGACCCACCAAAAGAACUCAAUAACCCAACACCCAGGACCAACAAGAAAUGGGAAAACCCAAGAAAGAGAAAAAGUUCAGAAAGAAAAAGAUUGAGAAAAAAGAGAGAGAGAGAGGAUCUUGUAGCUUGGAAAUAUAGGCUUUAACAAGGAAAUUAAACUAGUAGAACUCAAAGAUAUACGCUUUAAAUAUUGUAAUCUAUAGAAAUGAGUUGGUUUGAUUACCUUUAAACAAAACUAGUGUGCAUAUAAAUCCAAGAUUUGGUAACUACCCAUGAAAGCAAACUCAGUUAAAUGAAGAGUGAAGAGGAAAUGUAGAACUGUGAAUGUGGAAGGAAUCAAACCCAGAUGUGAGGGAAACUUGGAUUCAAAGAGAGGUUUUCUUACUUCUUAACAGGCUAAAAAAGAAGGGGAAGAAAAGGAAAAGAUUAUGGUAAAGACUAAAGAGAAUGUUGUUCU